rnacentral:rRNA from 1 species
AGGCCUAACACAUGCAAGUCGAGCGGAAGAGAGAAGCUUGCUCCUCUAGAGAGCGGCGGACGGGUGAGUAAUGCCUAGGAAUCUGCCUGGUAGUGGGGGAUAACGUUCGGAAACGGACGCUAAUACCGCAUACGUCCUACGGGAGAAAGCAGGGGACCUUCGGGCCUUGCGCUAUCAGAUGAGCCUAGGUCGGAUUAGCUAGUUGGUGAGGUAAUGGCUCACCAAGGCGACGAUCCGUAACUGGUCUGAGAGGAUGAUCAGUCACACUGGAACUGAGACACGGUCCAG